AAAAAAUGCAGGCCCUACUAUUCCUGAUGGCUCUUCUCUUGCCUUCUGGAGCUGGAGCUGAGGAGAUUAUCGGUGGUGUGGAGUCUAGACCACACUCCCGUCCUUACAUGGCCCAUCUGGAGAUCACCACUGAGAGAGGUUACAAGGCCACCUGUGGUGGGUUUCUUGUGACCCGCCAAUUUGUGAUGACUGCCGCACACUGUAAGGGAAGAGAAACCACUGUUACCCUUGGAGUUCAUGAUGUGAGCAAGACAGAAUCCACACAGCAGAAGAUAAAAGUCGAAAAACAAAUUGUUCACCCAAAU
rnacentral:lncRNA from 1 species